ensembl:misc_RNA
UUGACAAUCCUGGGACUGAAGUACUUUAUUCAUGGAGCAGCCAGAGCCCAGGGAAAGUUUCGUCACCCUGCCCCUCAACCUUGACCUGCAGGGCUCACCUCCAGCGAUGAGCUGGGCUGGGGACUGAGUUUCCGAGCGCCUUCAUUCUCUGGCCUCU